rnacentral:lncRNA from 1 species
GUUUGGAAUGAACCUCCGUUAUCUAUGGUGGGUCAUCUCCAUGUACCAUGUACUUGUGAUCAAUAAAAUUAUCCUCGCUUGUUCUAAAAAAAAAAACUGUAAACUACUUACAAAUAUUCAUUUAGUCCCUCGAUUCCGCUCAAGUUGAGUCGUAUAGUCGUAUUAUUUUUGGGGCUGUCCUAAACUUAAUUAAAAGUACCUUGUUUUUCUUAAAUUUUGAAUUAACAAAAUAUCGGCC